ACNCAAGUAGAGAGGANGGAGGGGACGANNUCAAGUCAUCAUGGCCCUUACGUCCGGGGANACACACGUGUUACAAUGGAUGGUACAGAGGGNAGCGACNUGGCAACAGGAANCCAAUNUCAAAAAGCCAUUCACAGUUCGGAUCGGGGUCUGCAAUUCGACCCCGUGAAGUUGGAUUCGCUAGUAAUCGCAGAUCAGCAAUGCUGCGGUGAAUACGUUCCCGGGCCUUGUACACACCGCCCGUCAAGCCAUGGAAGCUGGGGG
rnacentral:rRNA from 1 species